GUGCUCAUUUGGCAGCACAGAUACUAAAAUCGGAAGGCUACAGAGAAGAUUAGCAUGGCCCCUAAGUAAGUAUGACACGAAAAUUAAGUGUUCCAUAUUUAA
ensembl:snRNA U6 U6 spliceosomal RNA